GGCCCGUUGGUCAAGUGGUUAAGACACCGCCCUUUCACGGCGGUAACACGGGUUCGAAUCCCGUACGGNNUU
rnacentral:tRNA from 1 species